AUGCAGAGGCGGAGGCCGGGAUUCCAUCAUGUGGAAGAGACAGAGAACAAUGUAGUGCGCAGCCUGUUUUGGACAGACUCCUUGUGUAAGAUGAAUUAUGAUCUAUAUGGAGAUUUCGUGUCUUUUGACACGACAUUCUCUACGAAUAUAUAUGGCUUGCCAUUUGCACCAAUUAUAGGUGUCGACAACCACGGGUCGACUGUCCUGUUUGGAGUAGGCCUUUUGAAGGAUGAGAAAAUAGGGUCAUUCAAGUGGCUCCUAAGCACGUUUGUCGAGGCAAUGAGAGGUAAAGAGCCGAAAUACAUAAUAACAGACCAGGACCAGGCGAUGAAGACUGCAAUAAAGGAAGCUCUUCCGAGAACGAGGCACAGGUUCUGCUGGUGGCAUAUUAGGAAGAAUCUGAAGGAAAAUAACGCAGCAGUGUUUGCGCAGCACCCAGGGAUGUCUGAUGAUAUAUUUCGAAUCGUCAAAAGCUCACUAGAUCAAGACGAGUUUGAGCGUGCCUGGAAAGCAGAAAUUUCUCUGCACAAGGCGGAAGGCAACAAACACCUGAACACGCUAUGGGAACUCCGAAAUUUUUGGGUGCCGGCCUACUUCAAGCACUGUUUCUAUCCUUUCUCGUCAACAACCAUUCGGAGUGAGAGCAUGAAUUCAAUGUGGAAGAAUUACGUCGACCACAAGGACACUAUAAAAAGGUUUGUUAAUGCGUAUCACAUGAUUCAGCAAAAUUGCCUCGCCACGCUUGACAAGUAA
rnacentral:rRNA from 1 species